CACUGUACUAAGCACCUGGGAGAGUAUAGUACAACAGAUUUUGUGCACAUGUUCCCGGUCCCCAAGAAACUUGACAUUUAAUGGUGUAAAUGACAACACCCCUGCAUGACUAGGAAUCCACAACCACUCUCCAUCAAUGGACUUUUCAUGGUUUCAGUGCAGGAAGAAAGAGUACUCUGAAUUCUCAGUGGGAGUCCUGGGUUCUAGUCAACUUCCACCUUGAAGCCAGCUUGCUUCCCUACUUCCUUCUCUCUCCAUCUGUUCAAUGGGAAGACUGACACCUCUUUUAACAAGCAACUUUCAACAAUGUUAUUAAGUGCACAUGGUGUAACAUAUGGAAGUGUUGGGAACACUUUGAGAGAGAGCUGCUCUGUAAA